GACGAACCGUGCGAACGUUAUUCGGAAUCACUGGGCUUAAAGCGCGUGUAGGCGGGAGGGCACGUCCGGCGCUGAAAUCCCCCGGCUCAACCGGGGAACGGGCGCGGAUACGACCUUCCUCGAGGGACGUAGGGGGACCUGGAACUUCCGGUGGAGCGGUGAAAUGCGUUGAGAUCGGAAGGAACGCCCGUGGCGAAAGCGAGGUCCUGGACGUCUGCUGACGCUGAGACGCGAAAGCCAGGGGAGCGAACGGG
rnacentral:rRNA from 1 species